rnacentral:rRNA from 1 species
GACGAACGCUGGCGGCGUGCUUAACACAUGCAAGUCGAACGAUGAAGCCGGAGCUUGCUCUGGUGAAUUAGUGGCGAACGGGUGAGUAACACGUGAGUAACCUGCCCUUGACUCUGGGAUAACUGCGGGAAACUGUAGCUAAUACCGGAUACGACCCUCGGAGGCAUCUCCUGGGGGUGGAAAGAAUUUCGGUCAAGGAUGGACUCGCGGCCUAUCAGCUAGUUGGUGAGGUAAAGGCUAACCAAGGCGACGACGGGUAGCCGGCCUGAGAGGGUGACCGGCCCCACUGGGACUGAGACACGGCCCAGACUCCUACGGGAGGCAGCAGUGGGGAAUAUUGCACAAUGGGCGCAAGCCUGAUGCAGCAACGCCGCGUGAGGGAUGACGGCCUUCGGGUUGUAAACCUCUUUUAGUAGGGAAGAAGCGAAAGUGACGGUACCUGCAGAAAAAGCACCGGCUAACUACGUGCCAGCAGCCGCGGUAA